UGGGGAAUAUUGGACAAUGGGGGCAGCCCUGAUCCAGCCAUGCCGCGUGCGUGAAGAAGGCCUUAGGGUUGUAAAGCGCUUUCACUGGUGAAGAUGAUGACGGUAGCCAGAGAAGAAGCCCCGGCUAACUCCGUGCCAGCAGCCGCGGUAAUACGGAGGGGGCAAGCGUUGUUCGGAAUUACUGGGCGUAAAGGGCGCGUAGGCGGACGAUCAAGUUAGGGGUGAAAGGCCCGGGCUCAACCUGGGAACUGCCUUUGAUACUGGUAGUCUUGAGUUCGAGAGAGGUGAGUGGAAUUCCGAGUGUAGAGGUGAAAUUCGUAGAUAUUCGGAGGAACACCAGUGGCGAAGGCGGCUCACUGGCUCGAUACUGACGCUGAGGUGCGAAAGCGUGGGGAGCAAACAGGAUUAGAUACCCCCGUAGUCC
rnacentral:rRNA from 1 species